UGGUCUUCUGUUCUAUUUGUGCU
rnacentral:miRNA from 1 species